GACGAACGCUGGCGGCGUGCUUAACACAUGCAAGUCGAACGAAGAGCGACGGAAGCUUGCUUCUAUCACUCUUAGUGGCGAACGGGUGAGUAACGCGUAAUCCACCUGCCCUUCAGAGGGGGACAACAGUUGGAAACGACUGCUAAUACCGCAUACGAUCUAAUCUCGGCAUCGAGGAUGGAUGAAAGGUUGCCUCUACAUGUAAGCUAUCACUGAAGGAGGGGAUUGCGUCUGAUUAGCUAGUUGGAGGGGUAACGGCCCACCAAGGCGAUGAUCAGUAGCCGGUCUGAGAGGAUGAACGGCCACAUUGGGACUGAGACACGGCCCAGACUCCUACGGGAGGCAGCAGGGGGGAAUCUUCCGCAAUGGACGAAAGUCUGACGGAGCAACGCCGCGUGAGGGAUGACGGCCUUCGGGUUGUAAAGCUCUGUUAAUCGGGACGAAAGGCCUUCUUGCGAAUAGUGAGAAGGAUUGACGGUACCGGAAUAGAAAACCACGGCUAACUACGUG
rnacentral:rRNA from 1 species